GCAUCGGGAGAGACCGCUUGACUGCGGCGCCGAAGGGGAUUGGCAAAAAAACUCUCAGGCAAAGGUACCGGC
rnacentral:ncRNA from 1 species